GAUGAAGAACGUAGCGAAAUGCGAUACGUAAUGUGAAUUGCAGAUUUCAGUGAAUCAUCGAAUCUUUGAACGCACAUUGCGCCCGCUAGUAUUCUGGCGGGCAUGCCUGUUCGAGCGUCAUUACAACCCUCAGGCCCCCGGGCCUGGCGUUGGGGAUCGGCGGAAGCCCCCUGUGGGCACACGCCGUCCCUCAAAUACAGUGGCGGUCCCGCCGCAGCUUCCAUUGCGUAGUAGCUAACACCUCGCAACUGGAGAGCGGCGCGGCCAUGCCGUAAAACACCCAACUUCUGAAUGUUGACCUCGAAUCAGGUAGGAAUACCCGCUGAACUUAAGCAUAUCAAUAAGCGGAGGA
rnacentral:misc_RNA from 1 species